rnacentral:rRNA from 1 species
GAUGAACGCUGGCGGCGUGCCUAAUACAUGCAAGUAGAACGCUGAAGCUUGGUGCUUGCACCGAGCGGAAGAGUUGCGAACGGGUGAGUAACGCGUAGGUAACCUGCCUCUUAGCGGGGGAUAACUAUUGGAAACGAUAGCUAAUACCGCAUAAAAGUCGGCAUUGCAUGAUGUUGACUUGAAAGGUGCAACUGCAUCACUAAGAGAUGGACCUGCGUUGUAUUAGCUAGUUGGUGAGGUAACGGCUCACCAAGGCGACGAUACAUAGCCGACCUGAGAGGGUGAUCGGCCACACUGGGACUGAGACACGGCCCAGACUCCUACGGGAGGCAGCAGUAGGGAAUCUUCGGCAAUGGACGGAAGUCUGACCGAGCAACGCCGCGUGAGUGAAGAAGGUUUUCGGAUCGUAAAGCUCUGUUGUAAGAGAAGAACGAG